UACGUAGGUGGCAAGCGUUGUCCGGAUUUAUUGGGUUUAAAGGGUGCGUAGGCGGUUAUAUAAGUCAGUGCUGAAAUAUCCCGGCUUAACCGGGAGGGUGGCAUUGAUACUGUAUGACUUGAGUAAAGUUGAGGUUGGCGGAAUUGACGGUGUAGCGGUGAAAUGCUUAGAUAUCGUCAAGAACACCGAUAGUGAAGACAGCUAACUAAGCUUUAACUGACGCUGAGGCACGAAAGUGUGGGGAUCGAACGGG
rnacentral:rRNA from 1 species